CUCUCUCGCUCUCUCCCUCUCUCUCUCCCUCUCUCUCUCUCUCUCCCCAUCUCGCUCUUCCACUCUCCCUCUCUUUAUCUCUCCUUCUCCCUGUCUCUCCCCCUCUCUCUCCCCCCUCUCUCUCUCUCUCCCCCAGCAGUUGUUGAAUGAGGAAGUGUGUCUGACCUCCACCAAGUCACUUUGACAUCACUGCCCUCUAGUGGCCACAGUGUGUUCUGUCCUUUAGAGAGGUCAGGAGGUGGAGAGCUCCAAGGUCAGAGGUCAGCCAUGACCGUCCUUUCAGUUACAGGUUAGAGGUUGAUGGAGGUCUGUAGUGAUGGAGGUCUGUAUUGAUGGAGGUCUGUAUUGUAUCUAGUGAUGGAGGUCUGUAGUGAUGGAGGUCUGUAUUGAUGGAGGUCUGUAUUGUAUCUAGUGAUGGAGGUCUGUAGUGAUGGAGGUCUGUAUUGUAUCUAGUGAUGGAGGUCUGUAUUGUAUCUAGUGAUGGAGGUCUGUAGUGAUGGAGGUCUGUAUUGUAUCUAGUGAUGGAGGUCUGUAUUAUAUCUAGUGAUGGAGGUCUGUAUUGUAUCUAGUGAUGGAGGUCUGUAGUGAUGGAGGUCUGUAUUGUAUCUAGUGAUGGAGGUCUGUAUUGUAUCUAGUGAUGGAGGUCUGUAGUGAUGGAGGUCUGUAUUGUAUCUAGUGAUGGAGGUCUGUAUUAUAUCUAGUGAUGGAGGUCUGUAUUGUAUCUAGUGAUGGAGGUCUGUAGUGAUGGAGGUCUGUAUUGUAUCUAGUGAUGGAGGUCUGUAUUGUAUCUAGUGAUGGAGGUCUGUAGUGAUGGAGGUCUGUAUUGUAUCUAGUGAUGGAGGUCUGUAUUGUAUCUAAUGAUGGAGGUCUGUAGUGAUGGAGGUCUGUAUUGUAUCUAGUGAUGGAGGUCUGUAUUGUAUCUAGUGAUGGAGGUCUGUAUUGUAUCUAGUGAUGGAGGUCUGUAUUGUAUCUAGUGAUGGAGGUCUGUAGUGAUGGAGGUCUGUAUUGUAUCUAGUGAUGGAGGUCUGUAUUGAUGGAGGUCUGUAUUGUAUCUAGUGAUGGAGGUCUGUAUUGUAUCUAGUGAUGGAGGUCUGUAUUGAUGGAGGUCUGUAUUGUAUCUAGUGAUGGAGGUCUGUAUUGAUGGAGGUCUGUAGUGAUGGAGGUAUGUAUUGUAUCUAGUGAUGGAGGUCUGUAUUGAUGGAGGUCUGUAUUGUAUCUAGUGAUGGAGGUCUGUAUUGUAUCUAGUGAUGGAGGUCUGUAUUGUAUCUAGUGAUGGAGGUCUGUAGUGAUGGAGGUCUGUAUUGUAUCUAGUGAUGGAGGUCUGUAUUGUAUCUAGUGAUGGAGGUCUGUAUUGAUGGAGGUCUGUAUUGUAUCUAGUGAUGGAGGUCUGUAGUGAUGGAGGUAUUUAUUGUAUCUAGUGAUGGAGGUCUGUAUUGUAUCUAGUGAUGGAGGUCUGUAGUGAUGGAGGUCUGUAUUGUAUCUAGUGAUGGAGGUCUGUAGUGAUGGAGGUCUGUAUUGUAUCUAGUGAUGGAGGUCUGUAGUGAUGGAGGUCUGUAUUGUAUCUAGUGAUGGAGGUCUGUAGUGAUGGAGGUCUGUAGUGAUGGAGGUAUUUAUUGUAUCUAGUGAUGGAGGUCUGUAGUGAUGGAGGUCUGUAUUGUAUCUAGUGAUGGAGGUCUGUAGUGAUGGAGGUCUGUAUUGUAUCUAGUGAUGGAGGUCUGUAUUGAUGGAGGUCUGUAGUGAUGGAGGUCUGUAUUGUAUCUAGUGAUGGAGGUCUGUAGUGAUGGAGGUCUGUAUUGUAUCUAGUGAUGGAGGUCUGUAUUGUAUCUAGUGAUGGAGGUCUCUAUUGUGUCUAGUGAUCGAGGUCUGUAUUGAUGGAGGUCUGUAUUGUAUCUAGUGAUGGAGGUCUGUAGUGAUGGAGGUCUGUAGUGAUGUAGGUAUGUAUUGUAUCUAGUGAUGGAGGUCUGUAUUGAUGGAGGUCUGUAGUUAUGGAGGUCUGUAUUGUAUCUAGUGAUGGAGGUCUGUAGUGAUGGAGGUCUGUAUUGUAUCUAGUGAUGGAGGUCUGUAGUGAUGGAGGUCUGUAUUGUAUCUAGUGAUGGAGGUCUGUAUUGUAUCUAGUGAUGGAGGUCUGUAUUGAUGGAGGUCUGUAUUGUAUCUAGUGAUGGAGGUCUGUAGUGAUGGAGGUCUGUAGUGAUGGAGGUCUGUAGUGAUGGAGGUCUGUAUUGUAUCUAGUGAUGGAGGUCUGUAUUGUAUCUAGUGAUGGAGGUCUGUAGUGAUGGAGGUCUGUAGUGAUGGAGGUCUGUAUUGUAUCUAGUGAUGGAGGUCUGUAGUGAUGGAGGUCUGUAUUGUAUCUAGUGAUGGAGGUCUGUAGUGAUGGAGGUCUGUAUUGUAUCUAGUGAUGGAGGUCUGUAUUGAUGGAGGUCUGUAUUGUAUCUAGUGAUGGAGGUCUGUAGUGAUGGAGGUCUGUAGUGAUGGAGGUCUGUAGUGAUGGAGGUCUGUAUUGUAUCUAGUGAUCGAGGUCUGUAUUGUAUCUAGUGAUGGAGGUCUGUAUUGUAUCUAGUGAUGGAGGUCUGUAUUGAUGGAGGUCUGUAUUGUAUCUAGUGAUGGAGGUCUGUAUUGUAUCUAGUGAUGGAGGUCUGUAUUGUAUCUAGUGAUGGAGGUCUGUAGUGAUGGAGGUCUGUAUUGUAUCUAGUGAUGGAGGUCUGUAUUGUACCUAGUGAUGGAGGUCUGUAGUGAUGGAGGUCUGUAGUGAUGGAGGUCUGUAUUGUAUCUAGUGAUGGAGGUCUGUAGUGAUGGAGGUCUGUAUUGUAUCUAGUGAUGGAGGUCUGUAUUGUAUGUAGUGAUGGAGGUCUGUAUUGUAUCUAGUGAUGGAGGUCUGUAGUGAUGGAGGUCUGUAGUGAUGGAGGUCUGUAUUGUAUCUAGUGAUGGAGGUCUGUAUUGUAUCUAGUGAUGGAGGUCUGUAUUGUAUCUAGUGAUGGAGGUCUGUAGUGAUGUUGGCUUUCAGUCGUAUGUCCUUGAAUGAUUCUAACCAUAAUAAUGAUGAUAAAUUCUGUUAUAAGUUAUUUUACCGUCCUGUUAAAACAUAUAUUAGCAGGUAGCAGUGGCGUUGUUGAAUGUAAAUCCCUGCUAUAUUAGCAGGUAGCAGUGGCGUUGUUGAAUGUAAAUCCCUGCUAUAUUAGCAGGUAGCAGUGGCGUUGCUGAAUGUAAAUCCCUGCUAUAUUAGCAGGUAGCAGUGAUGUUGUUGAAUGUAAAUCCCUGCUAUAUUAGCAGGUAGCAGUGGC
rnacentral:lncRNA from 1 species